rnacentral:tRNA from 1 species
GGAGAGGUGACCGAGUGGCCGAAGGUGCUCGCCUGGAACGCGGGUGUAGGGCAACCUACCGUGGGUUCGAAUCCCACCCUCUCCG